ACUCUUCUCCUCUUUCUUAAUUUCGUCACAUAUAUAAAAAUCGUCACUAAAGCUUCCUUUCAGUGAAGGAAAAUGGCAGAUGGAAGCACAGCCACUUGCAUAGACAUUCUGUUGGCCAUCAUAUUGCCUCCCCUUGGUGUGUUCCUCAAGUUUGGGUGCCAGGUUGAGUUUUGGAUCUGUUGUUUGCUUACUCUGUUUGGAUGGCUCCCUGGAAUUGUAUAUGCCAUUUGGGUUCUCACCAAGUGAUCUCAUCAACCUUAUCCUUAUCCUGUAACUGGUAGAGAGAGGUGUGAAUGCCAUCAAGUUUAGAUAAAGGAGUGCUUCUUCUCAUUUACUUUUCAUAUAGUUUGAUGUGAUGUUUCCUAGUGAUGUCUUUUAUGAUACUUGUGGAGUUGGAUUAUUUGUAUUGUAUGUGAUUUUCUUGUAUUCAAUUUCAUUUAUUUAACAAAUUAAAACUUAUAUUAGUUUGCUUUUA